UACGGAGGGAGCUAGCGUUGCUCGGAAUCACUGGGCGUAAAGCGCACGUAGGCGGUCUUUUAAGUCAGGGGUGAAAUCCUGGAGCUCAACUCCAGAACUGCCUUUGAUACUGAGAGACUUGAGUCCGGGAGAGGUGAGUGGAACUGCGAGUGUAGAGGUGAAAUUCGUAGAUAUUCGCAAGAACACCAGUGGCGAAGGCGGCUCACUGGACCGGUAACUGACGCUGAGGCGCGAAAGCGUGGGGAGCAAACAGGAUUAGAUACCCGAGAGUACGAC
rnacentral:rRNA from 1 species